AGGACAGAAGAGCUCACAUCAGUUCAGCUUCAACAUCAACAUGUUCUCUGCAGCUCUGAUACUGCUGCUGGCAGCUGGAUCCUGUGUGAACAGUAUUGAUCUCAUCCAGCCAGACACGAUGGUUGUGCAGCCUGGACAGUCUUUGACCAUCACCUGUCAGGUCUCUGGUUAUUCUUUGACUGAUAACAGCUAUGCAACAGCUUGGAUCAGACAGCCUGCAGGGAAAGGACUGGAGUGGAUUGGAAUGAAAUUUACUGGAGCUUCAUACUACAAAGAUUCACUAAAGAACAAGUUCAGUAUCGACUUAGACUCUUCCAGCAACACAGUGACUCUAAACGGACAGAAUGUGCAGCCUGAAGACACUGCUGUGUAUUACUGUGCCAGAGAGCCACAGUGAGAGACAAUAACAGGAGAGUCAUA